GUGUAUUCGAGGAUUAACGAAUGAGAAGGAAUAAAGUGAAGGAUAUCUCAGUGCAGUGCAUCAUCCAUUUCCAGGGGGAACAGAAGCCAUCUGACUUGACCCCAUGGAGUACUUGCCAAGGAAGCUUGUAUUAGUUCUAUUAUUGACUCUUCCAACAUAUUUUUUAAUUGGAAAGUGGCCUAGAGGUGAAGAUCCUGUUGCCAUCAGCAUCGAACCGUCGGUUGUCCUUGUUGGAGAUCAAGUGACUCUGUCCUGCCAGGUGGCAGACAGUGUCCCCUAUAACACGAGUGUGCUCUGGUACAAAAUGGAAAAGGGGAGGGGUGCUCCACUGUGCUCUUCCUCCAGCCUGGGUGGGGUGGUGGAGCAGUGCCAGGAUGAAGAAGAGCAGAGGAUGACGGGACACUGGCAGGGAAGAGCACUUCUUCUGGUUAUCCGGCAAGUGCGAAUCGCCGACGAGGGGACGUACGUUUGUGCACUGAACGGCAGUGUUGUCACACACGAGGCUACUACUCACCUUGAUGUUACAGCAAUUGGGUAUAAGCCAACAUUGGACAGGGAUCUGCAAGAGGAGAGAAUGUGUCGCUACACGUGUAAGUCAAAGAAAUGGUACCCAAAGCCUGAAGUCUUUUGGAUGAGCUAUGGAGGAGACACAGUAAAUGUGGAGGCUGAGACCCAUGUAACCUGGAGUGAGAGAGACCAUUUCACAGUGCAGAGCAGCAUCACAGUGCCUUGUGAUAACGUAGAUGUGGUGUGUGUAGUCAAACUCCUCAAAUCCAAGAUAAGCCGAUCAGGUGCCAUGAAUGAAAUUAUUGUGCCACAGCCAACCACUUGUACGUACAAGGGCAGAAUAAGUGGUUCCUCUGUAAAGCCCAAAGUGAUGUGGGUUAAUCCCCAAGGAGAAGAUCUAUCUUCACUGGCCCACACAAGCAUUCUGCAGGAGACGGAUGGUAUUUUUACAAUAGAAAGCUCCAUUGAGAUACCCUGUGGACAACCGCCACCUUCUUUUGUGCCCACUGAGAGGGAACAGGGUCCAUGGAUAGCUCAACAGCCAGAAAACGGAAACAUGAUUUGGAUUAUCAGCUCCUUUGUUUCCAUUAUUUUACUAGCACUCCUUCUGAGGCAGAUUGGAAAGCAGAAGGAGAUUGAGGAACUGCGCGCAACGAACGAGAACCUGAAGAAGGAGAUAAGUGAGUGUCGCUUUUCCCCUGGAGGUCGUGUGAGCCAGCUAAUUGUGAGGUUUGGGGGUCUUCAUAGUGUGUUGCUUGUGGGUUCUGCCUUCUUGAGGUUUUGGUGCCAGCAGGAAUGUGAGGGAAAGGUAUGUAGAGGUAAGGCUGAGAUGGGGCUGAAGGGGCUGCAGAACCUCAGCUAUCAACCAGCCCAGGGACAUUGUGGGAAAAUGGGUGAUGACGGGGUAUUGAAGAGAUCCCUGCCAGAGUCAGAAGCUUGUGAGAUGCAGCUCCAAGGAGCGUUAGUCGGCCACCAGGCCAGAUUUUUUGUGGCUUCCUUGGGUAGAAUGUCCCCUAGUGGACUGCUUUGUAUGUUAUGGUUCUUGCCCUGACUUGGCUUUCUUGCCCUUUUUCUCUUGCUGCCCACGGGGACUUGGCAGAAAAACUGCGUGAAAAGGAAGGUGAGUCCCUCUGGUUGCCUGUGUGCUUUCAUGUUUAUUGUUGUUGAAAGUUGUCUAUACUUUUGCCUCCACGUUCCUUGGAAAUAUGUCACCUCAAUUCUUCAGGAAGCUGUUUCCAUUAGGAAGCCAAACCCAAUCCAUGGGAAUAACUCACAGUAGCUCAAAUGAUCCUCUUUUACAUGCUGUGUUCUUUCCAUGUCCUUUGAUACAUCCAGCUUUAUUGACCUGCCCAUACUUUUCUGCCUGCUGCCCUCUGCUGUUCAAAAGAUUACCUCUUAUCACUUGUGACUCCGGCUUUCUAGUUGGAAAAGUUCUUCCUUGUAUGCAGGGGAAGAACAAGAGCCCAUUUAGAAAUGACAGUCAAUGUCUCGUAGAUCUCACUGCAUGGAAACCUGUGGUGAUUUCAGAAACAGCAGGCAAAAAGAUGGCAUUUCAGGAGAUGGCUGAUCCAGAACCAUCCUCUAGUGCUACCAAGUACUGAUGUCUAAUCCACAGUAACCUUUUCUUUCUGUGUGUUUCUCUUGUUUGCAGUGGAUCAGAUGGAAGAAAUUGGUAAGUCGUUAUUGCUUAGUGAAGGGGGAAGACUGAAGAGAGGAAGAGGGUUCUUGUUUUAAAGGGCAAUUAAUUUAGAGCUUGUAAACUCCUGGGGAUUUGAAACGUUCCCUUUAUGCAGUUCCAAGUGCAUAUCUCACACCUGUAUGUUCACGGGCUCAGCUAUUUGUCCAAAACUCAAUGUUUUUCACAUACAGAUGCCUGCCUUUGAGCUAAUCCCUUAAAUUCACAUCUCAGAACUGCACAAUCCUACUGGGACCCCUGCUGAGUUGUCUUUUCAUGUUUCACACGUAAAAACACAAGUUCACCUGAUUCUGCCCUGGAAAACAGUUAAUAUUUACUUGUCUGUUUUGACUUCUCAGCAGCUUAGUUUGGAUAG
rnacentral:lncRNA from 1 species